UGCACCCCCUCCCUGUUUUAUCACUACCUCAACCUCUCGAACUUCGUCGCGCGGCCGAUGUGGGACUAAAACUCCCUCCCCAGCAUCACCUCAUCAUUUGUUGGAUUUUAAACCAUUUGAAUGUUUGAUUUGUCUUCUCCAUGGAUUCUCCAUCCAAACUCGAACCCCUUAACGCUCAGAAAGACGCACCAACGGGAACCACCGAAACCCUAAAUCUCACACCCAAACCCUCCUCAUCAAAGAGAAAACCUCGACCAUCAAAGAAAAUCCCCACCAAUGAUUCUCCCCCCAAUCAAUCUGCAGCUCCUCGACGGAAACGGAAGGCCAGGAUCUCCACCGCCGCCUCCGCCGCCGGUGCAUCGCCGGGGAAUCGGAGAAGAACUCGGAGGCGAUUGGAGAAGGUGAUCGUUGCUAAACAAGAGAAUGAGAACGAGAAUGAGUUGGUUGCCGUUGGUAAUGAUAUCCUGAAGUGCAAACAACAACUGGGUUUGGUUGCUUCGAAAAUUGAAGAGGAUAAUGCAUGGGAGAAGAUUAUGGAGCUUUUGAUGUGGAAGAAUGUCGCGAAAUCGACACUGUGGUUUGGUUCGGGGUCGAUCUUUUUCUUGUCUUCUUGUUUCUCUAAGGAUUCUAAUUUCAGCAUAAUAUCCGCAGCAUCUCAUGUGGGUCUUCUGAGUUUGGGCGUUGCCUUUCUCAAAGAUUCUCUGCUUCAAUGGCAGCAGCAGAAGCCAAGAGUCGGAAAGUUGCAAUUUUCAGAAGAGGACUUUCUUUGUGCUGCUCGAGUAAUUUUGCCCACAACAAAUGCUGUUUUGGCCAAGUGCCAGAGGAUUUUCUCUGGCGAGCCUUCGAUGACUCUUAAAGUGGCACCCAUUUUUCUCUUCACUGCAAAGUAUGGGCAUCUUAUAACCCCAUGGAGACUUCUGGCAACUGCUUUUUUCUUGAGUUUUACUCUUCCGAAGCUCUAUUCUUCCUAUUCCGAGAAAAUUGGCCAACCUGUUGAAGAGGUGAAAAGCUAUGUCAAGGGAGCAUGGGAGUCUUGUCCUCGCAAGAAACUUGUGGCCACAUGUACAGCCAUGAUAUUAUGGAAUUUGUCGAGCUUUAAGAUGCGUAUCUUUGCAGGAUUUAUGUCUCUUGUGAUGCUUCGACACAAAAACAACAGAGGAGGUGUGAGUAAUGAAAUUGAAAGAGAGAAGGAGAGCAGCAACAAGUUAUGUUGAUAGAACCAUAGAGGAUGAAAUUACAAGUGGAGCUACUAAAAAACAUUACCUGCAUCAAAUGCAUUACGUGCAGGAAAAGAUUAGAGGGCAAAAGGAGGGAACAUGGAAGAAGAGUUGCUGCUGACACUUACGCCAACAGAGUUGCGUGGAACAUGAGUUAAUAGAGUUGUCCUGAAUUUUGGGUGGUUUCUUGGCUUGCAACUAAUUACUAGCUUAUGCAAAACAUUUAUUUGCACAAAAGCUUGUACAAAUUCUAUUUUGAUAUUUCCUGGAUGUUCUGUGUCACAAAGUUGUUACUUGAUAAUUAAUAUAUAACAGUAAAAAUCCUUGU